UUAAGGCUUGGAAUGGACCUUAAAGAUCAUGUAGUCCCGACAUCCCCUGCCAUAGGCAGGGAAUACCUCCCUCUAGACCAGGCCAUUCAAGGCUUUAUCCAACCUGGCUUUGAACGCUGCUUCAUUCCAGUACAGCUCUUUUCGUAAAGCCAGGAAAUGAUGGAGUGAGACUAGGGGAGAAAGCUGAUGUAGAUGUAGAAAGCUAAGUGGAGCCUGGCAGUUCUUUAAAAGUUGAUUAGCUAAGCUGAAAGGCCACUUCUUUACUCAUUCCAUGGAGGAAAGCAGCACUGGCGCAGAGCCCGUUGGCCAGAGCAAGGCAGUCACUUAAAAGCCACAUGGAGCAAAUGGUGGAGAAAAGCCAAGAGGGAAACACUCCAUUUGCUCAGAAACAACAGAAUGUGGAGAGCUGGAACAGGAAGCUGGGGCAGCCAGGCAAAAGGUUACCCAGGGUAACCAGUGCUAAAAGGUCUGAAGUAAUAAUUUAUAGCACACUUCAAUGGUAGCUGUUAGAACAAGGUUACUUCCAGGGUGAAAGGAAGCACCAAAGCCCACAAGGCAUGCUGGAGUGUCCAGUGCUGAACAAAGACAAUGACGUUUUAAAAUCUGUGAACCUUUGGCCACGGUGCAUCGCUGACAUUUGUAAGGGUAAGGUCACACAUCUCGACAAAAUUAAGCGCCCACAGCCUUCGUCACCCUGAUUCGCGGUUCCGCUGUAAAAGGGCUCUAUUCCCCCUCUAUAUCAGAGGUGGAAAUUUCCACGCCUAUUUCUCCGACCCCCUGGAGCAAAGCUUGACUGAGGAACCUGAAGAAGGCAGUGUUUAGGGUCUGGCCAGAUGGAUGCAGCGCAGGAAACAAAGCACGGCAGGAAGGUGGCAGAGUUGCUCCGAUUAACCAGAGGGCUACCGGCUUUCGCACUCUCUGAACACGGAAGAACAUUUACUGAAUGGGAAAAAAGGUUAACCUCGGUUUCUUGCAGGGCUGGAUGAAAAAUCAGCCCUUGCGUCGAG
rnacentral:lncRNA from 1 species